AAAACAUGGUGAGGGCAUCUCCUAAGCAUUUCCUUAAAUCUCUCAAAGCUCUUAUAAAUUGUUUCUCUUUGAAACUAGGUAAAACAAGUAAUAUCAUUUAUACAUUU